CACGUAGGCACCAAGCGUUGUCCGGAUUUAUUGGGCGUAAAGAGCUCGUGGGCGGUUCGGUAAGUCGGGUGUGAAAACUUUGGGCUCAACCCAAAGCGUGCACUCGAUACUGCCAUGACUAGAGUUCGGUAGGGGAGUGGGGAAUUCCUAGUGUAGCGGUGAAAUGCGCAGAUAUUAGGAGGAACACCGGUGGCGAAGGCGCCACUCUGGGCCGAAACUGACGCUGAGGAGCGAAAGCGUGGGUAGCAAACAGG
rnacentral:rRNA from 1 species